rfam:Rattus norvegicus chromosome 14, whole genome shotgun sequence.
GGGGAUUUGGCUCAGUGGUAGAGUGCUUGCCUAGCAAGCGCAAGGCCCUGGGUUCGAUCCCCAGCUCUG